rnacentral:tRNA from 1 species
GGAGAGAUGACCGAGAGGCCGAAGGUGCUCGCCUGCUAAGUGAGUGAAUGGUUAACGCUGUUCCGAGGGUUCGAAUCCCUCUCUCUCCGCCA